rnacentral:sRNA from 1 species
AAGGAGCGGCAAGGAGGAGCACGAAAAGCUCCCACAAUGUUGCAUGUGCUGCAGCCAAAGUGUAGCAUACUUAAUGGGGCAAAAGGUGCGUCGACCAAGCGGAAAUUAACUUUCGUGGUUUAAAGCAUUUUGGCGGACAAUAGACGAUGGCUCUGGGCAACAUCAGGAGCAGCAGCCAAAUCGGACGAGGCCAUUACGGCUUUAAUCCCAGGAAAGGA